GAAAAAUAUCAUAAAUCAAAAUGAUUAAUCAUCAAAGCUUACGGUCACUAACUUGCACCCAAAAUUAUAGAGUUUGAGAAAUUUCAAAACUAUUACUACAUGAAAGUGGCAGCAAAUUCACCAAUUUUGGUCAAGAGAAAAAGAAGUUUACUGUGACAAGCAUCUUGGCUUUUGAACAAUGUAUAACGUAUUCAGCAACGAUGACCACAUGCAUCGAGAAGAAGCUCGAUCAGCAAGCAAAAUGCUGCAUAUCCAAAUACGAAAUAACGCCACCGCAGAUCCUCAUUUCACAAGUUUCCGCAAGACUGAUUCAGCUCGCAGCUCGAAUUUAGGUAGCACCCAAUCAUGCUGAACGAUGUCUAGUCCGUCCUUUUCUGCUCCCAAAGUCUUGCUGGG
rnacentral:misc_RNA from 1 species